UUCGCAAUGCCCGAAAGGGUGACGAAGCGACGCCGCGUGGGUGAAGAAGGCCUUCGGGUUGUAAAACCCUGUCAGGAGUUAUGAAAUGUAAGUGCGCUAAUAUCGUGCUUAUUUGACAAAGGCUCCAAAGGAAGCCACGGCUAACUCUGUGCCAGCAGCCGCGGUAAUACAGAGGUGGCGAGCGUUGUUCGGAAUUAUUGGGCGUAAAGAGCACGUAGGUGGGUUUGCAAGUCAGAUGUGAAAGCCUUCUGUUCAACGGGAGAAUUGCAUCUGAAACUGCUAAUCUUGAGUAUAGGAGGGGAGAAUGGAACUUCUGGUGGAGCGGUGAAAUGCGUAGAUAUCAGAAGGAACGCCGGCGGCGAAAGCGAUUCUCUGGCCUAUUACUGACACUCAGUGUGCGAAAGCUAGGGGAGCAAACGGGAUUAGAUACCCCGGCAGUCCUAGCCGUAAACGAUGGGCACUAAGUAGA
rnacentral:rRNA from 1 species